UUUAUUGACAAGUACACUGUACAAUAAGUUUAUGGACAAGUUCAAUGUACACUAAGUUUAUGGACAAGUACACUGUACAAUAAGUUUAUGGAUAAAUACAAUGUACAAUAAGUUUAUGGACAAGUACCCUGUACAAUAAGUUUAUGGACAAAUACAGUGUACACUAAGUUUAUGGACAAGUACACUGCACAAUAUGUUUAUGGACAAGUACACUGUACACUAAGUUUAUGGACAAGUACACCAUAUAAUAAGUUUAUAAACAACAUAAUUUAUGGGUAAUGAGGUUUAUUGAAAAAUAUAGUUUAUGGACAAGAAAAUGAUACUUGAACAAACAAUAGCUUUAUAGAACAGUUUAUGUACAAGAUAUCUAAUGUAAAUAUCAUCAAGAACAAAAAGUUUAUAAAGUAAGACUAUAUGUAUAAUUUACUGACAGGGACAAAAUGGUUAUGAACAAGACUUUAAGAUUAACAAAACUUUAACUAGCAAGAACAAAAAGUUUAUGAAUAAAACUUAAAGGUUUACUGGCAAAUUUAGAAGACUAUAAGAUUUCCUGGCAAGAACAAAAUGAUCAUGAACAAGACUACAGUGGUAUAAGACUUACUGGCAACAUAAGGCAUAUGAACAAAUUCAUAAGAUUUACUGGCAAUGACAAAAUGUUUAUGAACAAGUCUGUUGACUUUAAGAUUUUUCUGAAAAUACAAAAAGUUUUAGUCCAUACAUUCAUAUAUUGACAAUUACUUGAAGUGUUGUUAUCAAAGAUUACUUGUUCAAGUCAGCUGCUAAUACCUGUAUAUUGCAAAAAUCAAAUUAUGAAAUAUGUUUAAAACAGUUUGGCUCAAUUGGAGGCUUACUAGCAGCCAUCAAUUAAACCAGCUCGUGCAUAAUAAUGCAUUCUUGGACUUCAUUAUAUUACAUUCUGGCCAAGAUUUAUUCUUUAAUUAAGACAAGAUUUUGAAGUUGAGGUGACAAUAUGUUUGAAGGUAUACUAACUUAUAUACAUUAAUGAUAAUCUUUAUUUACUAAUCAGACUGCUCAGUAUAUAACCUGUAAGCAAAUAUAGCAUUUUGUGUAUAACAUUUAUUCUAGUCUGUAGAAGGCGUGGUUACAGGCCACUCCCACUUCCAUACAGGCCACUCCCAACUCCAUCAUGACAAUCAUCACCCGCAGGCCGUAUUUCAAACUGUUAAUAUUAACGAACCUAUAGAAGGCUUCUUGAAUAAAUGUAAAUUCAUAAAUGGCAAGAAACCAUCAAAAAAGUGGGCCAUGACAUAUGUGAAGCUCGGAGGCUCUAACCUAGUAUUCUUACAAAGACCAGAAAUCCUCUCA